AGAGUUUGAUCAUGGCUCAGGAUGAACGCUAGCGGCAGGCUUAAUACAUGCAAGUCGUGGGGCAGCGCAGUGUAGCAAUACAUGGGCGGCGACCGGCAAACGGGUGCGGAACACGUACGCAACCUUCCUUUAACUGGAGAAUAGCCCGGGGAAACCCGGAUUAAUACUCCGUAACAUUAUGAAGUGGCAUCACUUUAUAAUUAUAGCUCCGGCGGUUAAAGAUGGGCGUGCGUCUGAUUAGGUAGUUGGCGGGGUAACGGCCCACCAAGCCUACGAUCAGUAACUGGUGUGAGAGCACGACCAGUCACACGGGCACUGAGACACGGGCCCGACUCCUACGGGAGGCAGCAGUAAGGAAUAUUGGUCAAUGGACGCAAGUCUGAACCAGCCAUGCCGCGUGGAGGAUGAAGGUCCUCUGGAUUGUAAACUUCUUUUAUUUGGGAAGAAACCCCCGAUUUCUAUUGGGGUUGACGGUACCAGAUGAAUAAGCACCGGCUAACUCCGUGCCAGCAGCCGCGGUAAUACGGAGGGUGCAAGCGUUAUCCGGAUUCACUGGGUUUAAAGGGUGCGUAGGCGGGUUGGUAAGUCCGUGGUGAAAUCUCCAAGCUUAACUUGGAAACUGCCGUGGAUACUAUCAAUCUUGAAUAUAGUGGAGGUGAGCGGAAUAUGUCAUGUAGCGGUGAAAUGCUUAGAUAUGACAUAGAACACCCAUUGCGAAGGCAGCUCGCUACACUAUUAUUGACGCUGAGGCACGAAAGCGUGGGGAUCAAACAGGAUUAGAUACCCUAGUAGUCC
rnacentral:rRNA from 1 species